rnacentral:rRNA from 1 species
UACGGGGGGGGCAAGCGUUGUUCGGAAUUACUGGGCGUAAAGGGCUCGUAGGCGGCCAACUAAGUCGGAUGUGAAAUCCCCAAGCUUAACUUGGGAACUGCAUCCGAUACUGGAUGGCUUGAAUCCGGGAGAGGGAUGCAGAAUUCCAGGUGUAGCGGUGAAAUGCGUAGAUAUCUGGAGGAACACCGGUGGCGAAGGCGGCAUCCUGGACCGACACUGACGCUGAGGAGCGAAAACCAGGGGAGCAAACGGG